rnacentral:rRNA from 1 species
AUGAGUUGCCUGAGCUGGAACUGCCGCGGGCUUGGGAACCCGGAGGCAGUUCGAGAGCUUCGCAAUGUUGUGAAGCAAGAAGGCCCCAGUCUCCUCUUUCUGAUGGAGACAAAGAUUUUGGCAAAAAGAGUGGAAAGCCUGCAGAAUCAGCUUGGUUUUGCGGGUUGUUUUGCAGUAAACAGCAAUGGUUUGAGUGGGGGCAUCGGUAUGUUUUGG